ACGGCUCAGUAACACGUGGAUAACCUGCCCUAAGGUGGAGAAUAACCCCGGGAAACUGGGGAUAAUACUCCAUAGACUAGAGAUACUGGAAUGUUCUUUAGUCGAAAGCUCCGGCGCCUUAGGAUGGAUCUGCGGUCGAUUAGGUUGUUGUUGGGGUAACGGCCCAACAAGCCUGUAAUCGAUACGGGUUGUGGGAGCAAGAGCCCGGAGAUGGAAUCUGAGACACGAUUCCAGGCCCUACGGGGCGCAGCAGGCGCGAAAACUUUACAAUGCAGGAAACUGUGAUAAGGGAACCCCGAGUGCCCGUAUACGCGGGCUGUCCAGGUGUUUAAAACGCAUCUGAAGAAAGGGCCGGGCAAGACCGGUGCCAGCCGCCGCGGUAAUACCGGCGGCUCGAGUGGUGGCCACUAUUAUUGGGCUUAAAGCGUCCGUAGCUGGACCCUUAAGUCUCUUGGGAAAUCCGCCGGCUUAACCGGCGGGCGUCUAGGAGAUACUGGGGGUCUAGGGACCGGGAGAGGUGAGAGGUACUCCGGGGGUAGGAGUGAAAUCCUGUAAUCCCCGGGGGACCACCGAUGGCGAAGGCAUCUCACCAGAACGGCUCCGACAGUGAGGGACGAAAGCUGGGGGAGCGAACCGGAUUAGAUACCCGGGUAGUCCCAGCCGUAAACUAUGCGCGUUAGGUGUACUGGUGACCACGAGUCACUGGGGUGCCGAAGGGAAACCGUGAAACGUGCCGCCUGGGAAGUACGGUCGCAAGGCUGAAACUUAAAGGAAUUGGCGGGGGAGCAC
rnacentral:rRNA from 1 species